rnacentral:rRNA from 1 species
UACAGAGGUCUCAAGCGUUGUUCGGAUUCAUUGGGCGUAAAGGGUGUGUAGGUGGCGCGCUAAGUCGGGUGUGAAAUUUCGGAGCUUAACUCCGAAACUGCAUUCGAUACUGGCGUGCUUGAGGACUGGAGAGGAGACUGGAAUUCAUGGUGUAGCGGUGGAAUGCGCAGAUAUCAGGAGGAACACCGGUGGCGAAGGCGGGUCUCUGGGCAGUAACUGACGCUGAGGAGCGAAAGCGUGGGGGAGCGAACAGG